rnacentral:lncRNA from 1 species
CCGGGGGUCUAUCAGAAACAACGUCUCUACUUCACCUGAGGUAGCGGUAUGGAUGGCGUACACUCUACCCUUCCUAAACCCCACUAGGUGGGAAUGCACUGGGUAUGUUGUUGUUGUAAUUUUAAGGUCCUCUUCUUAAAGUUGGCUUUAGGUCACAAAUCCCGUUGAGCCAGCCUUGAUUAUAGGGAUUUCAUUUUAUUUCCUUAAAUGUAUAUUUCAUAGUUAGGCUUCAGUUUUCUGUAUAAAUACAUCCAUAAUUGGUCGUAUAGAACAACUUUAGAAUUCAUGAAAUGUCUCUUCUAAAAUUCUACAUUGUAUUAAAGCUCGUGCUUUUUUAGGUGAUAAAGUUUCCUCUCUCCAUUGAGCCAUUGUAAAGUUUUUCUCUGGUUUUCUUUUUUGCCUUUUUAUUAAUCUAGGCUUUUU